CCUGCGGUUCCGUCCGCAGUAGCCUAGCGGCACCUGCGGGGUUGGUAACGACCUCGUGGGAAGCAGCCGCGACAAUGCACCUGCAUCCUUCGGGAUGGGAAACUCGCCGCGAGGUUGAGUUCUCCGAGCCGCCAAUGUCAGACGACUCAAGUG
rfam:Opitutaceae bacterium TSB47 genomic scaffold Scaffold1, whole genome shotgun sequence.